ensembl:Y_RNA Y_RNA Y RNA
GUCUGGUCUGAAGGUAGAGACUUAUCUCAAUUGACUCCUGGCAAUUGCAGAUUGAACUCCUUAUUCUCCUCUUACCGCCAUGCUCACUACUGCACUUAACUAGUCUUUU